rnacentral:rRNA from 1 species
UACAGAGGUCCCGAGCGUUGUUCGGAUUCACUGGGCGUAAAGGGUGCGCAGGUGGGUUGGCAAGUUUUGAUGUGAAAGCCCCGGGCUUAACCCGGGAAUGGCAUUGAAUACUGCUGAUCUGGAGGAUUGGAGGGGGGACUGGAAUUCUUGGUGUAGCAGUGAAAUGCGUAGAUAUCAAGAGGAACACCAGUGGCGAAGGCGAGUCCCUGGACAAUACCUGACACUGAGGCACGAAAGCUAGGGGAGCAAACAGG